AUUGAACGCUGGCGGCAUGCCUUACACAUGCAGUCGAACGGCAGCAUGAUCUAGCUUGCUAGAUUGAUGGCGCGUGGCGAACGGGUGAGUAAUACAUCGGAACGUGCCCUGUAGUGGGGGAUAACUAGUCGAAAGAUUAGCUAAUACCGCAUACGACCUGAGGGUGAAAGUGGGGGACCGCAAGGCCUCAUGCUAUAGGAGCGGCCGAUGUCUGAUUAGCUAGUUGGUGAGGUAAAGGCUCACCAAGGCGACGAUCAGUAGCUGGUCUGAGAGGACGAUCAGCCACACUGGGACUGAGACACGGCCCAGACUCCUACGGGAGGCAGCAGUGGGGAAUUUUGGACAAUGGGCGAAAGCCUGAUCCAGCAAUGCCGCGUGUGUGAAGAAGGCCUUCGGGUUGUAAAGCACUUUUGUCCGGAAAGAAAUGGCUCUGGUUAAUACCUGGGGUCGAUGACGGUACCGGAAGAAUAAGGACCGGCUAACUACGUG
rnacentral:rRNA from 1 species